UACGGGGGGGCAAGCGUUGUUCGGAAUUAUCUGGGCGUAAAGGCGCGAUGUAGGCGGCUUUUCGAAGUCGGACGUGAAAGCCCCAGGCUUAACCUGGGAAAUUGCGGCUCGACUACUGUUGAGCUAGAGUGUGGAAGGGGCUACUGGAAUUCCGUGGUGUAGCGGUGAAAUGCGUAGAUAUACGGAGGAACACCAGCGGCGAAGGCGGGUAGCUGGGCCAACACUGACGCUGAGACGCGAAAGCUAGGGGAGCAAACGGG
rnacentral:rRNA from 1 species